CCAAACUUAGAGCAAGAGAGGAGGGAAGAAGCAGAGGAAAUUCAUCAGUGUGCCUGUGCUUAUGUAGCUCUCUGAGGCAGGAGGAAAGAUAACGCUGGGACCACGAACCAGAAACCAAAUAUAUAUGAAAUGGGAUUUGGCAUUGUUUUGAGACUGGCUGGUGAAUGGAGCUAGAGGGGCUUUUCUGCAGAGGGACGAUUGCUGUGAAGUGAGACAGUCUGGAGGUCGCAGUGUUUGGUGUAUGUGAAGUAUUUGGUAUGGUGAAGGAGCGAUCACCUGCAUCACAAGAUGUGCUGUUAGGGUUGAUCGAGAUGCAUCCAAAAAACCACACGUUGGUGCUGUUGCUGGAAGCCCUCAGUGCCCUUGGGAGCUGAUCUCCUUCCCCACCUCCCCUUGUCUCCAGUGAUGCACCGAGCGUAGCCUGGUCUUUGCCCCAUGCUCACUUCAAAAGGCCUCUAUACUAGUCCUGAGCACCCCCAUGGGCCCACAGCUAACCUUCACUUGCCAACAAGCAAAAAACGUGGUGUCAGAACAAAGCAAAAAUGACCACAGCUCGAUGAUCAAACCCAGUCAUCUCGCUGGGAGGUGGGCUGGCAGCUGGGAUGCGCGCAGAGGACCUCCCGUGUUCUUCCUGCUCCUCAGCAUGGAGUAGAUGAAGCAAAGGAAGCAAAUAUUUCAGAACAGAGCAUGUUACACUGAACCUGGUCACACUGGAGAUGGUGGAAAGGCCAAAGUUCAAGUUCACAGACCCCAAAGUAAGUUACUGAAGUGAUUGCUUGUUUGAACGUUUGCUUGCUUGCUCUUGCCUUUCAUUCUCCUUGAUCUAACCGUAGUAUAUUGUUAAUGCCUAUUCGAACAUUGCAUUAAGCUCUAAUUAAGCCUGCCAAUCAGAAAUAAAGAGAAAGCAGGCUUCUAAUAUGCCUGGUGG
rnacentral:lncRNA from 1 species